rnacentral:rRNA from 1 species
CCUACGGGAGGCAGCAGUGGGGAAUCUUGCACAAUGGGCGAAAGCCUGAUGCAGCAACGCCGCGUGCGGGAAGAAGGCCCUAGGGUUGUAAACCGCUUUCAGCAGGGAAGAAACUGACGGUACCUGCAGAAGAAGGUGCGGCCAACUACGUGCCAGCAGCCGCGGUAAU